GACGAACGCUGGCGGCGUGCUUAACACAUGCAAGUCGAACGGUAAGGCCCUUCGGGGUACACGAGUGGCGAACGGGUGAGUAACACGUGGGUGAUCUGCCCUGCACUUCGGGAUAAGCCUGGGAAACUGGGUCUAAUACCGGAUAGGACCCUGGGAUGCAUGUCCUGGGGUGGAAAGCUUUUGCGGUGUGGGAUGGGCCCGCGGCCUAUCAGCUUGUUGGUGGGGUGAUGGCCUACCAAGGCGACGACGGGUAGCCGGCCUGAGAGGGAGACCGGCCACGCGGGGACUGAGAUACGGCCCAGACUCCUACGGGAGGCAGCAGUGGGGAAUAUUGCACAAUGGGCGCAAGCCUGAUGCAGCGACGCCGCGUGAGGGAUGACGGCCUUCGGGUUGUAAACCUCUUUCAGCACCGACGAAGCGCAAGUGACGGUAGGUGCAGAAGAAGGACCGGCCAACUACGUGCCAGCCGCCGCCGUAA
rnacentral:rRNA from 1 species